GGGGCAGUUGAGGGUCAGGUCUGUUGCUAGGCUACGAGUGUUCCGGACCAAACAUUCCAAGCCUCUGAGCUUCGCAGCCAAGGUGUGGCAGCGCGAUCUCUGUGGCUUUUCCAUAGCGCUAGCGCUGAGAUUGGGAGGUGGCAAGAGGCCAAGCGGGAAGGGUGUGGUGUCGGAAGGCGAAAGGCAGGAUCAUGAAGAAAGUGAUUAAGUUCACGAGCUGGGUGGGCCUCAGGAAUCUUGAGAGACCUGAGCCUUCGUACAUCACCGAUAAGCGUGAGCUACCAAAGCUCCACAGAGCUGCAUGUUCAGGCUAUGAUGAAACAUUGCGGAAGUUGCUGUCACGUAAGAAAAAUGCCGUAGACAGCAGAGACAAGAACGGCAGGACUCCGCUACACUUGGCCUGCAUCAGCGGCUGUCCAGGAGUGGUGGCUCUCCUUAUCCAGUUCAACUGUGAUCUGAAUGCUCGUGACAAGGAAAGGACGACAGCUCUCAUCAGGGCUGUACAAUCCCUGAACAGGGGAUGUGCCGGUAUCCUGCUGGAACACGGUGCUAACCCAAAUCUUGAGGACGGCGGUCAAAACACUGCUCUCCAUUAUGCCAUCUUGGAAGAGAGUGUGUCAAUUGCAACACAGCUGCUCCGCCAUCAUGCAAAUAUCGAGGCGAUAAACAAGAGUAAUUUGACACCAUUUUUACUCGCUGUCAAGGAGAACAAAAAGGAAAUGGUCAGAUUUUUGAUAGAGAACGGGGCAAAUGUACAUGCAGUCGACAACGUGCAAAGAUCAGCACUCAUCCUUGCUGUAUUUCAUGACUCCCCGGACAUAGUCAAGUUACUUCUUCAGGAAGGUGUUAGUCCCUAUUCUCAAGAUUCACGCGGAUGGUCUGCUGAACAAUAUGCUUAUUCUAAUGGGUUUGAACAGUAAGUGUUUACAUUAAAAUGCCAAGUAUCUCUUAACUGAGGUUGGAAAUGACCUAACUGUUACUUGUUAUGUGACAGGUGAGAGUUCGUAGUUGGGAGCAGGCACUUUGGGGAUGGCAGUGAGACACUCCAAAUCAUCAGCUGGAAACCAGCAAAAGGCCAGACUAGUGAGAUGGAGCAGUGGGCACAGGGUUCUUUAUCUCAGGCUUUGUAAGACCUUUAUCCUUAGGGAUCCUAUUGUUCUCCAUUUCAUUCCAGUGUAACCCCUGUGCAUGGAGGUACAAAUAAUGUCACAUAUCUGAUUUUUCUAACUAAUUCUUUAGGUCUUGAAAUGUUUAGUUGAGCAGAAAAUCCUGUAUGUUCCUUUGGGGACUUUCUUCUAUAAUCUUCCUUUUGAAUUUUCCAAGAGCCUGAGGGAUUCCCUAAGAUCACAGUGACAGUCCUCUCCCACAAGACAUUGGGGCAGGGCGAGGGCAUUCUAAUCAUUCUCUUGUUUCCCUUGAUUCUGUUGCUGCAGUGUUGGUACUAAAACUGGUUUUAACAGGAUCUCCUUGGCAGCUGAGUCUGGGGUCUGGACGUUGCUCUCUAAAGACCUUUACUAAAAUUUUAAAAGAAGAAAAGGAAAAAGAAACUGGUCCUGCAGUCUGGUCAUGAUUGACCUCUGCUCCCGGGAUGCCUGUGCUGAUUCAGUUUCCGUGGUCUUCAUGGUGAUCGACACGUAAACCAGCGUGACAGCUUGUUUAGUUCUCAUACAUAUGCUUGUAUGAGGUCAUAUAUUUAUAAAUAAGUUUAGCUACAAAUUAUAUAGUAGCUGAGGUGCCCUGAAGUAUAAACCACGAAGAACAGCUAAUCACCAUAAUUUGUAACGUUGUCCUGAAAACUGCCACAUUUAAAUAUUACACCUGUGAAAAAAACACACAGUGGGUUUUAUUUGGGAUUCUCAAAUAGUUCCAGCAUUAAAGUUCAAGAACAAAUUUUUCCAUUCUUCCACGCUUUCUCUGAGCAUCUGGGGGGGUACAUUAUCUCAUUAAAUCUUCAUAAUACUCUUAUGAGUAUUAAUAACCAACUGCCUAAGAAGACAGUAAGAUCCCAGUUGUAUAAAGGAAGACUUUGGGCUGAAGAGAAGCAGCUUUUCCAGGAACAAAUAGCUGUUGGUUAUAGAGCUGGGACUUCUGAGUUUGAGACACUUUCCAUAUGUCAGGCUCACUCUAGAUAACUUACUGAGCUGUACUACCCUCAGUUCCUGACUACUUCACUUUAAUUUUUUUCUUCUUUAAUUACACAUGCUAAAUUUAAAUGUUUGUAGAUUGUACAAAUUUGACGUAUAUGGGACAAUUGAAGUUUUGAUAUCUCUGAUAUUAUCUGAAAUAAUCUAAGAAUUUAAUACAUUUGGUAAUUAUAUUUCAUAUUAGUAUUCAAGUAGUAAUAUUUAUUUAUCACAUUAUUUUAUAUAUAGCAUUUACCAGCUGAUUGUCGACUACAGAGAAGGAAAGAUACCAAAUACUCCCUCUCAAAAUAGCGAUCUGGGACAGAUUUCAGCUGAGAAUGUACCUUCUUCGCAUACUGGGGCAGAAAAUACCCAAGAAAAGUUGCAGUUGUCCAGCAAGGACAACGAAGAAGACAUGGUUGCCGAGCUGGGAGCCAGCAAUGGCAGCUGCACGGAUUCACUGAAGAGUGUUGAGAAGAAGACUUUAAGGGUUAAGUUUCCAUUGAGGAUUGAAGAUCUCUCUGUAAGCAGUGUUUCAUCCAUAUAUUGUAUUGAUGAUUCAUGGCAUUCAGCAGAUGAUGACGCAGAUCUUGCUCCGAAGGUAAAGUGCUCUCUUGUGAAAUUAAUUUUUCUGCUCUGAAUUUAGUUUUGUGUAGUAUUUACUCUUAAAAUUUAGCAGUGGUCUGCCUAUCAUUGUUCUAUGUUUGUGUUGGAAAGUUGGUCAGAGUAAACCAUUUUAUAAAAAUACGACUGCUUGAUUUUUUCUUUUCUUAUUUUGGUAAAUACUGAAGAUGAGGCUGAAGCAAAUUGGACCAGA